CCUACGGGGGGCUGCAGUGAGGAAUAUUGCGCAAUGGGGGCAACCCUGACGCAGCAACGCCGCGUGAGUGAGGAAGGUUUUCGGAUUGUAAAGCUCUGUCGAGCGGAAAGAAAUGCACGAUGGCUAAUAUCCAUCAUGCUUGACGGUACCGCUAGAGGAAGCACCGGCUAACUCCGUGCCAGCAGCCGCGGUAAUACGGGGGGUGCAAGCGUUGUUCGGAAUCAUUGGGCGUAAAGAGCGUGUAGGCGGCUGGACAAGUCAGAUGUGAAAUCCCUGGGCUUAACCCAGGAAGUGCAUUUGAAACUGUCUAGCUGGAGUAAGGGAGAGGAAAGUGGAAUUCCUGGUGUAGAGGUGAAAUUCGUAGAUAUCAGGAGGAACACCGGUGGCGAAGGCGACUUUCUGGCCCUAUACUGACGCUGAGACGCGAAAGCGUGGGUAGCAAACAGGAUUAGAUACCCCAGUAGUC
rnacentral:rRNA from 1 species